rnacentral:rRNA from 1 species
CCUACGGGUGGCAGCAGUGGGGAAUAUUGCGCAAUGGGCGAAAGCCUGACGCAGCGACGCCGCGUGAGGGAUGAAGGUCUUCGGAUCGUAAACCUCUGUCAGCAGGGAAGAACGGUCACUGUGCUAAUCAGCAGUGAAUUGACGGUACCUGCAAAGGCAGCACCGGCUCACUCCGUGCCAGCAGCCGCGGUAAUACGGAGGGUGCGUGCGUUAAUCGGAAUUACGGGGCGUAAAGCGCUCGUAGGCGGUAUGUCAAGUCAAGGGUGAAAUCCCCGCGCUCAACGUGGGAACUGCGUUUGAAACUGGCAACCUGGAGUGUGUGAGAGGAUAGUGGAAUUACAGGUGUAGGAGUGGACUCCGUAGAUAUCUGGAGGAACAUCAGUGGCGAAGGCGACUAUCUGGCACAUAACUGACGCUGAGGAGCGAAAGCGUGGGUAGCAAACAGGAUUAGAUACCCCUGUAGUC